rnacentral:rRNA from 1 species
AUACGUAGGUGGCAAGCGUUGUCCGGAAUUAUUGGGCGUAAAGCGCGCGCAGGCGGCCUCUUAAGUCUGAUGUGAAAGCCCCCGGCUCAACCGGGGAGGGCCAUUGGAAACUGGGAGGCUUGAGUAGAGGAGAGAAGAGUGGAAUUCCACGUGUAGCGGUGAAAUGCGUAGAGAUGUGGAGGAACACCAGUGGCGAAGGCGACUCUUUGGCCUAUAACUGACGCUGAGGCGCGAAAGCGUGGGGAGCAAACAGGAUUAGAUACCCUGGUAGUCCACGCCGUAAACGAUGAGUGCUAGGUGUUGGAGGGUUUCCGCCCCUCAGUGCUGAAGCUAACGCAUUAAGCACUCCGCCUGGGGAGUACGGUCGCAAGGCUGA